rnacentral:rRNA from 1 species
GAUGAUCUCCNGCUUGCUGGGGGGNUUAGUGGCGAACGGGUGAGUAACACGUGAGUAACCUGCCCUUGACUCUGGGAUAAGCCUGGGAAACUGGGUCUAAUACCGGAUACGACCGUCCCGCGCAUGCGGUGGUGGUGGAAAGCUUUUGCGGUUUUGGAUGGACUCGCGGCCUAUCAGCUUGUUGGUGGGGUAAUGGCCUACCAAGGCGACGACGGGUAGCCGGCCUGAGAGGGUGACCGGCCACACUGGGACUGAGACACGGCCCAGACUCCUACGGGAGGCAGCAGUGGGGAAUAUUGCACAAUGGGCGAAAGCCUGAUGCAGCGACGCCGCGUGAGGGAUGACGGCCUUCGGGUUGUAAACCUCUUUCAGUAGGGAAGAAGCGAAAGUGACGGUACCUGCAGAAGAAGCGCCGGCUAACUACGUGCCAGCAGCCGCGGUAAUACGUAGGGCGCAAGCGUUAUCCGGAAUUAUUGGGCGUAAAGAGCUCGUAGGCGGUUUGUCGCGUCUGCUGUGAAAGACCGGGGCUCAACUCCGGUUCUGCAGUGGGUACGGGCAGACUAGAGUGAUGUAGGGGAGACUGGAAUUCCUGGUGUAGCGGUGAAAUGCGCAGAUAUCAGGAGGAACACCGAUGGC